UACAGAGGGUGCGAGCGUUGUUCGGAAUUACUGGGCGUAAAGCGCACGUAGGCGGACAUUUAAGUCAGGGGUGAAAUCCCAGAGCUCAACUCUGGAACUGCCUUUGAUACUGGGUGUCUUGAGUAUGGAAGAGGUGAGUGGAAUUCCGAGUGUAGAGGUGAAAUUCGUAGAUAUUCGGAGGAACACCAGUGGCGAAGGCGGCUCACUGGUCCAUUACUGACGCUGAGGUGCGAAAGCGUGGGGAGCAAACAGG
rnacentral:rRNA from 1 species